GGUAAAUAAAAAUCAUUUUGCUCUGAGAUAUCCAUAAGGAAACAGCAAUUUAUUGGGAACUGAACAUGAUACUUGAAAUGAAGUAGUCACCAAAAGGUGCAUAAUUUAAAAAGCCAUUUUCUAUAUUUCUCACAUUUAAUGAUUCAAUGGUAUUUUAUUGUCUCAUGUACCGAGGUAGAGUGAAACUCAUGUUUUGUACAUAGUUCAGUAACAAUCUUGUUGUAAAUGGGGCACAACCAUACUUAAGUACAAGAGUGUGAGAUUAGUAGAUCACAUUGAGGCACUACACGAGAGUCGCCAUGUUUCCAGCUACAUCUUGUGCCCUUCAAGUUCAGAUGAGUUGGACUGAAAUCUACAAAAACUCGCACUACUUCCGU